GGAUUGGAGGGGAUCAAUGAGUCUGUUCUGUGGGGAUUCAGUUGAAGAGGUGUUUCUUGAGCUAUGGUUGUGCUUGAUCAGUAGUCUUCCUGCUGGAUUCCUGCUUGAUCCGAUUGAUAGCAGCAAGCGAGGUGCUGUUCAGUGGGUUGUCUAGCUCCAGCAACAGCUACCCUUCCUGGCAACACCACUUCUUCGUGUGGAUCUACAGAUCAGAGCUAGGGAUUAAGAGGAGUGAAUUCCAAAUAGGUUCUGUUCUGUCCUGUUUUGUGGAUUGGUUGGCUUCAGCAGUAACUCAUCUUGGUCUCGGCAGCAACAAUCCUCUUGUCCCAACAGCCACAGUAGCUGUGGAAUUGAGGUUGAGGCCGUCGGGAGAUAUUCCAGUCGCUAGCCCCAUUAUCGCGAGGAUUUUCUUUGUCGGAUUAUAUUUUGCUUUUGCAUCUUAUAUACUUGUAUUGUGGGUUUGUAUUGUGGACUUCACAUUGAACAUUCAGGUUUGCUACUUUUUGUUUUC